AUCAUGACCUGAGCCAAAGUCAGACGGUUAACCGACUGAGCCACCCAGGAGCCCCUAAGAAGUGUUUUAAAUAUACAUUUGUUGAGUUCAAAGAAAAUUGGUCGCUAUAUGCAUUUGUACCUACUGGUAAAUGGCAGGGAGAGAGGAGUAGCCUCACACCCCCACACAUGGAAUUUGAGAAGAAAGUGAAAUCAGAAACCGUUUCCUCCUUGAUAACAUGGGAGAGAGAACCUUACUCUGCUUGUUCCCAGUUGCUUCCAUCCAUAGUUGUUCUCUUCUGUCCCACAUGUUCAGAUCUGAUUGUCAGAAGAUGACUCUGGCCAUACUGCUUCAGGCAGAGAAUAACUUGCGUUCUUUUGCAGGGCCUGGCUCCCAGCUAUACCUCCGUAGCGGAAUCUGACACACUGAUAGAUGACAGGCCAUCUGAUACUCUAUCCAACAGAGGACAGUGGCUCAUUUCCGCUCUCACAUAACAUUUGCUCCAGAAAUGGAUUUUCUGAAACUUUCCACUUAAAAAGCUGUGGAUUAACUUUAGUGAGGCCAACAUAGUGGAAACUAAGCAGAGCAUAUAACCUCAGACCGUUGGACAGGCGCACUCUGUCACAGCUCUGCCUUAAUUCACUGCGUAUUACUUUCUUUGGAAUUCGCAACCAGAUUCUACACCAUUCACUUUUAACAUCUGGAAAUACGCAAAGCAUUUGGCUAUUUGUUCACCUUGUUUAAGCUGUCCACCUACGUCAGGUACCUUGCAUGUGAUUUACACAGUGAAUGGCCCUGCUUUCGGAGCAAGUUAAUGAUAUAAUAUCCCCAUUUAUAUUCAGAGCAGUCAACACUUUCCAGCUCUCAGAAUAAUAAAAGCACCUGCAUUUAAUAUACAUGGAAGAAUGGAAAGGCAAAUAGCAGAUAAGGCACAAUCAGGGGAAGACGGUUUAUCAGAAACUGAUGUCUCCGAGAACUUCCUCACUUUUGGCCACUGGCAGCUGGAAACCUAACUGUGUAUCUUAGCCUUGUGUGGACCCUAAUGCAACACAACCAUAUGGAGUCAAAUGGAAAGCUUCGUAUUCGCAAGUCAGAACUGAACAGACCUGGUUUGUAGAGUGGGAUUUAGCACACUUUCUCUCCUUUUAAGUUACUCUUUGUUGGAGGCCAGUGAUCUCUUCACUGAACUCACUGGGCCUCACCAGAGACCAUGAGGACAUGGGGAAUAUAAGGGACAAGGCACAGGGAGGGCCCAGGUGCGGAGGGGCUGUUGCACGAGCUCGGGCUGGCCUGCAGUCGGCCCUGGUGUUGACAUCUUUGGUGGCAGGGCUCCAGCUCCUUCCCAGAGGGAUCACAAAGUGCCUUUGCUCUUCCCUGCUGCAAUUGGAGUGGGAUAUCAUGUGUAGAAAAUGCAAUGGACUGCCCCAUCUUCUGAGAAGAGCUGUAGUCACUCUCUUGUUCCUCCAUUCUGACGCUUUCGUUUGCUUUUCUAGAGUAGUAGCCCUGGGCACUGGUCAAUAGGUGUGUAUUUAAAUGAAAUUUUCCUAAGUAUGAGCAUGAGGGAGAUGAAAUAACUGUCCACUGCAUUUAGAGCCACUCUAUUUUUAUGGAAACGACUCUUCCCAAAAUAUCUCUGUCUCUUCAGCUGGUUUAGUCAGCUCAGACCGUGAUAACAAAAUAACGUAGGUGAGGUGGCUUAAAGAACAGAAAUUUAUUUUCUCUCAGUUCUGAAGGCUGUACGUCUGAGACCAGGGUGCCAGCAUGGUCGGGUUCUGGUGAGAGUUCUCCAGCUGGUUUGCAGAUGGUGGGCAUCUCAGUGUGUGCUCACAUGACCUCUUCUGUGGAAAGAGGGAAAGCAAGCUUUGUGGUCUAAGAUGUCUUCUUACAAUGACACUAAUCCAUGAGACUCUCCCCUCAUGAGCUCAUCUAAACCUGUUUACUCUCAAAGGUCCCAUCUCCAGGCACUAUCACACUGUGGGUCAAGGCUUCACCAUAGGAACUGGGGGGGCUAUGGGGUACAAUUCACUCCAUAGCAUUACCCAGUAGUAUCAUUGUGGCAAUGGUAGUAAGGCAGAGACAAAGAGAGUGACUGCC